rnacentral:rRNA from 1 species
GGGGGGACCAUCCUCCAAGGCUAAAUACUACUGACUGACCGAUAGUGAACCAGUACCGUGAGGGAAAGGCGAAAAGAACCCCUGUGAGGGGAGUGAAAUAGAACCUGAAACCGUGUACGUACAAGCAGUAGGAGCAGGCUUUGUCCUGUGACUGCGUACCUUUUGUAUAAUGGGUCAGCGACUUAUAUUCAGUGGCAAGGUUAACCAUCUAGGGGAGCCGUAGGGAAACCGAGUCUUAACUGGGCGUUCAGUCUCUGGAUAUAGACCCGAAACCAGGUGAUCUAGCCAUGGGCAGGUUGAAGGUUGAGUAACAUCAACUGGAGGACCGAACCGACUAAUGUUGAAAAAUUAGCGGAUGACUUGUGGCUAGGGGUGAAAGGCCAAUCAAACCUGGAGAUAGCUGGUUCUCCCCGAAAGCUAUUUAGGUAGCGCCUCGGACGAAUACUACUGGGGGUAGAGCACUGUUAAGGCUAGGGGGUCAUCCCGACUUACCAACCCUUUGCAAACUCCGAAUACCAGUAAGUACUAUCCGGGAGACACACGGCGGGUGCUAACGUCCGUCGUGGAGAGGGAAACAACCCAGACCGCCAGCUAAGGUCCCAAAUUACUACUAAGUGGGAAACGAUGUGGGAAGGCUCAGACAGCCAGGAUGUUGGCUUAGAAGCAGCCAUCAUUUAAAGAAAGCGUAAUAGCUCACUGGUCGAGUCGGCCUGCGCGGAAGAUGUAACGGGGCUAAGUAGUAAACCGAAGCUGCGGCAAUAUACUUUUGUAUAUUGGGUAGGGGAGCGUUCUGUAAGCGGUUGAAGGUGUGUGGUAACGCAUGCUGGACGUAUCAGAAGUGCGAAUGCUGACAUGAGUAACGAUAAAGGGGGUGAAAAACCUCCUCGCCGGAAGACCAAGGGUUCCUGUCCAACGUUAAUCGGGGCAGGGUAAGUCGACCCCUAAGGCGAGGCCGAAAGGCGUAGUCGAUGGGAAACGGGUUAAUAUUCCCGUACUUCUUACAAUUGCGAUGGGGGGACGGAGAAGGCUAGGUGGGCCUGGCGACGGUUGUCCAGGUUCAAGUGCGUAGGCUUAAGAGUUAGGUAAAUCCGGCUCUUUUUAAGGCUGAGACACGACGUCGAGCACCUACGGGUGUGAAGUCAUUGAUGCCAUGCUUCCAGGAAAAGCCUCUAAGCUUCAGAUUGUAAGGAAUCGUACCCCAAACCGACACAGGUGGUCGGGUAGAGAAUACCAAGGCGCUUGAGAGAACUCGGGUGAAGGAACUAGGCAAAAUGGUACCGUAACUUCGGGAGAAGGUACGCUCUCGACGGUGAAGUCCCUUGCGGAUGGAGCUAUUGAGAGUCGCAGAUACCAGGUGGCUGCAACUGUUUAUUAAAAACACAGCACUGUGCAAAAUCGUAAGAUGACGUAUACGGUGUGACGCCUGCCCGGUGCCGGAAGGUUAAUUGAUGGGGUUAGACUUCGGUCGAAGCUCUUGAUCGAAGCCCCGGUAAACGGCGGCCGUAACUAUAACGGUCCUAAGGUAGCGAAAUUCCUUGUCGGGUAAGUUCCGACCUGCACGAAUGGCGUAAUGAUGGCCACGCUGUCUCCACCCGAGACUCAGUGAAAUUGAAAUCGCUGUGAAGAUGCAGUGUACCCGCGGCUAGACGGAAAGACCCCGUGAACCUUUACUACAGCUUGGCACUGAACAUUGACCCUACAUGUGUAGGAUAGGUGGGAGGCUUUGAAGCACGUACGCCAGUAUGUGUGGAGCCGUCCUUGAAAUACCACCCUUGUAGUGUUGAUGUUCUAACGUCGACCCCUUAUCGGG